UCCCGACACAUGCUACUUCACCUGACCGGACACCUGCCACUUCACCUGUCCCAACUCCUGUCACUACAGCUGUGGAAGGAACAUCAACUUUAAUCACGACUCUCACAACUAGUCUGGCAAAUGCAACAGAUGUCCUCUCAACAACAGUCAGUCCUUCUGCAGAGAUGAAAUCAACUUUGACCACAAACGUAGCAACAAGUCCCAGUGUCUCUAUGCUGUAUUUUGAGGUCCAGGUCAAUGUGUCCAUAACGGGAGUCUGUGACCCUGAACAGACCAUCUCAUAUUGGCUCAACUCCAGUUUGCCAGAUGACACAAUGUCAGUCCUGGAUCUACAACUGCUCUCCAAAUCUACAAA